rnacentral:misc_RNA from 1 species
GAUGAAGAACGCAGCGAAAUGCGAUAAGUAAUGUGAAUUGCAGAAUUCAGUGAAUCAUCGAAUCUUUGAACGCGCAUUGCGGCCCCUGGUAUUCCGGGGGGCAUGCCUGUUCGAGCGUCAUUUCACCACUCAAGCCUCGCUUGGUAUUGGGCAACGCGGUCCGCCGCGUGCCUCAAAUCGACCGGCUGGGUCUUCUGUCCCCUAAGCGUUGUGGAAACUAUUCGCUAAAGGGUGUUCGGGAGGCUACGCCGUAAAACAACCCCAUUUCUAAGGUUGACCUCGGAUCAGGUAGGGAUACCCGCUGAACUUAAGCAUAUCAAUAAGCGGAGGA